UACGGAGGGAGCAAGCGUUGUUCGGAUUUACUGGGCGUAAAGGGCGCGUAGGCGGUCAGCACAAGUCAGUUGUGAAAUCUCCGGGCUUAACUCGGAAAGGUCAACUGAUACUGUGCGACUAGAGUGCGGAAGGGGCAACUGGAAUUCUUGGUGUAGCGGUGAAAUGCGUAGAUAUCAAGAGGAACACCUGCGGCGAAGGCGGCUUUCUGGGACGGUACUGACGCUGAGACGCGAAAGCGUGGGGAGCGAACAGG
rnacentral:rRNA from 1 species